rnacentral:RNase_P_RNA from 1 species
UUGGAAGGGUGGAGGAUCGCUUUCGGCAUUGAUUUGCUGGGAGAGGAAAGUCCGAACACCGCAGGACACGAUGCCGCGUAACCUUGGUUCAGCCGGGGGUACACGCGGGCAGUUUAUCCGUGAGGAAAGCUGACGGAAAGUGCCACAGAAAACAAACCGCCACGGCUUUGGUCGAGGCAAGGGUGAAAAGGUGGGGUAAGAGCCCACCGCGCCAAGCGUAAGCGAGGCGGCACGGUAAACCCCAUUGGGUGCAAGGCCAAAUAGGGGGCUAGGGGCGGUUCGCUCCAUGAUCGGAAACGAUCACGGCUCCGGGUAAGGUCGCAAUAGAUAAAUGAUCCUCUCCGCCGGGCAACCGGUGCAGACAAAAUUCGGCUUAUAACCCUUCCAAGGUC